rnacentral:piRNA from 1 species
CAAAAUGAGUUACAAAUUCAACA